GUUUUUAUAGUUGAAUACAACACUGAUUUUUCAGGUCAGGAGUCUUAGUUAAAGUCUAAGUAAUAAUU
rnacentral:tRNA from 1 species